rnacentral:tRNA from 1 species
GGAGAUGUGGCUCAGUGGCUAAAAGCACUGGCUGCUCUUCCAGAGGACCUGGGUUCAAGUCCCAGCACCCACA